GCUUAGAGAGGGGUCAAUGUCCUAUCAGCUAGUUGGUAGGGUAAUGGCCUACCAAGGCUAAGACGGGUAGCCGGCCUGAGAGGGUGGCCGGCCACACUGGGACUGAGACACUGCCCAGACUCCUACGGGAGGCUGCAGUCGAGAAUCUUUCGCAAUGCCCGAAAGGGUGACGAAGCGACGCCGCGUGUGGGAAGAAGGCCUUCGGGUUGUAAACCACUGUCGGGAGUUAAGAAAUGCAAGGGUGUUAAUAGCAUCCUUGCUUGACUAAGGCUCCGGAGGAAGCCACGGCUAACUCUGUGCCAGCAGCCGCGGUAAUACAGAGGCGGCAAGCGUUGUUCGGAAUUAUUGGGCGCAAAGAGCACGUAGGCGGCUUUGUAAGUCAGUUGUGAAAGCCUUCUGCUCAACGGAAGAACAGCAUCUGAUACUGCAAGGCUAGAGUGCGGAAGGG
rnacentral:rRNA from 1 species